rnacentral:tRNA from 1 species
GGAUCUUUAGCUCAAAUGGUAGAGCACUUGAGAGUAUGAGCAGCCCCUAAUGCAUCUCAAGAGAUGGUGGUUCAAAUCCACCAAGAUCCU